GAAGGUGGCGAGCGUUGUUCGGAAUUAUUGGGCUUAAAGAGCACGUAGGCGGAGCAGAAAGUGUCUUGUGAAAACCCCCGGCUUAACCGGGGAGUUGCUUGGCAAACUUCUGUUCUUGAGUCAAGUAGGGGUACAUGGAACUCUUAGUGGAGCGGUGGAAUGCGUAGAUAUUAAGAGGAACGCCAAUGGUGAAGACAGUGUACUGGGCUUGUACUGACGCUGAGGUGCGAAAGCGUGGGGAGCGAACGGGAUUAGAUACCCCGGGUAGUCCACGCCGUAAACGAUGUCUACUAGGUUGUGGUUGUUCUGACACAUUCACAGCCGAAGCAAAAGUGUUAAGUAGACCGCCUGGGGAGUACGGUCGCAAGGCUA
rnacentral:rRNA from 1 species